AGAUGUAAUUCAAACUAGGAUUUGCCACAUUGGUCCUGAGGGCAAAACACAAGAGAAAUCAGCUUUAUGCUGGAUUAGGAACAAAGGACCAUGAAUGAGCAUUCCUUUAAACUCUUAGGAGAGCCUCUCCUUGGAAAAUUCAAGGUGAUUGAAUGAACAAUCUCCCUGAAAAGGCCCUUACCUCGCCAAGGAAAGAGGGAGGCACGAAGAAAGACCCUUUUCCAUACGUGGAGGUGGUUUUGAUGGUGGUGAGUGAAUGGAUGGCACUCGGGGAAGGGAGAGAUUAGCAUGGACUCAUUGGAGGUGACAUCCUGGAGGAGAUUGGGAAUCUAACUGGGCUUUGGAGAAUCUGCAGAAUUUGGAUACACAGAGGGGGAAGGAAAGAGAAAGAUCCUCAAAGUCAAAGAAGUGUGUACAAAGUAAUAGAGGCAUGGUGUGGGACCGCUGAGCAACAGUGUGGGGUAAUGGAAGAUGGCAUCAGGAAGACCUGGGUUCAAACUUCGUCUCUAAUGCUUACUUGCUGUGGGAUUAUGGGGGAGUCACUGAAUAUUUCUGAGCCUCAGUUUCCUGACCUUUAAGAUGGGAGUGAUAAUAAUUACUGUAUGAUUAUUUAAUAUAUUGUAUAAUUUGACAAAAUGGUACUUAUAAAAGGAGAUUGUUUUUGUCAAAGUACUUUGCACAGUCCCUGCUACAUAGUAGGUGCUCUAGAAAUGCUUCUUCCUUUCCCUUCCCUACCUCCAUUAAACUGAAU